ensembl:rRNA 5S_rRNA 5S ribosomal RNA
GUCUGCAACCAUACCAUUUUGGCCCAUGAUCCUGUUGGAUCUGACAAGCUUAGAAGCAUCAGGCUGUCAGUACUUGAAUGGGAGACUCCAGGAAAUAUUUAAGUGAUAGAAGUAG